AUGAUCCACCAUCUUCCAGUUGCCAUCGACGCAGAUCGCUAUCUACAUCCGCUCCUGCACUACCUCUCGAGCUCUGCACCGAUGAUGGAGCAAACAUCGUCACAACGACAGAGUCCAAGGAUACAAAUCCACCAUAAGGAUAUUGUCGCUGCCAUACCAUCCCCACAUGAACAUACUAGCAACCAGAUCCAUCACCCACCAACGAGCAUAACAAUUGUCAAAAGGGAAAAAGGGCUAGCAGUAUUUUCCUCCCCUUCACACACCCACACCCACACGCACACGAGUUACUCGAAAAAGAAAAAAGAAAAAAAGAAACCCCACACGCACACGCACACACCGGUCGUCCAGCAAUCGUCGUCCAGCACCACCACCGCUGCCCACCGGCGAGCGAUGUCGGCCGCCGCGAAGGUGAGGGCGAGCGGCGGCAAGAGGGGUGGAGCCCAGGACCCGGACGAGGCACCACGGUCCGACAAGAGGCGGCGCAACAUGGACGACUGCGACCGCGAGCUCGAGCUCGACAGGUGUGCCUCCUCCCCCUCCCUCCCCAGCUAUUCGCGCCGCUGCUCUGCGCUCGGCGCGUCCCGCUCGCGGCGUUUCUCGGAUGGAAUAGACCGAGUGUUUCCUGGCCGCGCCCCCUCCUCCUCCUCUCUCCCACGCUCGAUUUGUAUCGUGACGACGCUGCGCCACAUCAAGGACAAGGCUCACAAGGACGGCCAGAAGAAGACCGAGCAGGCCAUCUCCAGGGUUCAGUGGCUACGAGUACCUGGAGUCCUGAACCUGCUGCCUGCCCUGAAUCCAAACCUUCUGCAUGCCCUGUAUCUGAACCUGCUGCUUCAGGAGUCUGUAAUUGGAUGUGAACUAGGAAUUACCAGUGUCAUGUUGUUUGUGAACGAUCAGAUAUUGGAAGUCUAUGUUUGCAUCACCAAAGUAGCAGGACAGAACCCCGUUGUUGUCAGGUUAGGAAUAUACAAGGAGUUUAGCAGUCGUCAGAAGGCGCUGCCUGUACAUCUGAUGAUUGGAACACUGGAAAUCUGUGUUCGCAUCACCAAAUUAGUAGGGCAGCAGACCAUCGUUUUCCUGAUUGGUCAUGACUGCUUUGGUCUUGCAUGUAGUGUUGCGCCAGUAGAUCAUAAACUUAUUUUUUUCUCAAAGUUUGAAGUUGAAAAGGAGAAGCUGAUAGUUCAGUAUGAACUGCAAAGGUAUAAGGAAAUGACUAGUAUUUCUGAUGUUGAGAAAAGAGUUUCAGAGAGGCUAGCAGAUGCAGACGAGUCUCCGAAGAAGUUGAAGCAGGGUAGGGUGACAGAUCCAUCAUCAAGCUUCGCAAGUCCUUUGCCUCGUUCCUGGGCCCCCGAUGACGAGGAGGACUGA
rnacentral:rRNA from 1 species